UGGGAGAGGAAUGAUAGAAACACUUGACAAGGCUUACUGGGGCUCAUCUUGGAGGUUAUCUACCACAGCACCUAAACUUCUAACAAGUCCAGAUCUUUCUAUAUUUUCUUUCUGCCUUAAUUGUGCCUAAAUUCCAAGGGUACCAAAUAUUUCUUUCUUCUCAGCCCAUGAAUGUAUUUUGUGUUGACAAGUUUCAGUACUUAUUCAACAACAGUUGGUUUUAAUUUUUUACUUUCUAAAAACUAUUCUUAAUUUGAUUCUAUUUAAUUAUUUGUCUGUAUCUGUGUAUUAUGCUAAGUUAUAUUUAGCUUUGUAGAGUUUCUUAGUUUUGUAGGAAGAUACUGAUACUGUUUGUUUCAUACUUUGUAAUUUUAGUACUAAUGAUAGAACAAGAGUUCAUUUGUUCCAUUGACUUUUAUUACAUUGAUUGAUUGAUUGAUUGAUUGAUGGAUUGUGUGUGGGCACCCAUGUUCCACUGUGGGUAUGAAGAAGUCAGAAGGCAACAUGUGGGAGUCUGUUCUCUCCUUCCACCAUGCAGGAGCCAAGAUCAAAUUUAAGUUGUCAGGCUUGGUAGCAAGUACCUUAACCUGCUGAGCCAUCUUGCCUGCUGUUUGUUGUUGGUUUAUUUUUUUUUCAUUUUGUUUUUUUAAAGGAUUUAGUUUGUGUGUGUGUGUGUGUGUGUGUGUGCAUAUGGAUGCCCUUAGAGGCCUGAAAGGAUGUCAGUUAUAGGUAGUUUGAACCAUCUUACAUAGAGGCUAGCAAUUGAACUCUGAUCUGUCAGAACAACAGGAACUCUUGGCUCUAAGCCAUCUCUCCAAGCUCCUCCAUUGAUCUUUUAUUCUACUUUAUUUACUUAUUCAUUUUACAUCCUGCUCACUGCCUCCUCCCAGUCACUCCUCCCACAAUCCUUCCCCCAUCCACCCCUUCUCCUCUGAUGAGUGGGGUCUCCCUAGUUAACUCCUCACCCUGGCAUUUCAAGUCUCUGUGAGGCUAGGCACUUCCUCUCCCACUGAGGCCAGACAAGGCAGCCCAGCUAAAAGAAUAUAUCCCACAUACAGACAAUAGCUUUUGGGAUAGCCCCCAUUCCAGUUGUUCAGGACCCACAUGAAGACCAAGCUGCAUAUCUGCAAUAUAUGUGCAGAGAGGCCUAGGUCCAGCCCAUGAAUGUUCUUGGUCCUUUAUUGAUCUUUAUUGUCAUUUUUUUUUUCUUUUUGAGACUAGAGUUUCAUGUAGCGUUAGAAUAACUUCCAACAGGCUUCGCAGUCAAGGGUGACUUUGAAAUUCUGAUUCUUUUGCCUUCUGGAGUCCUAGGGUUACAGCCGUGCAUCACCAUGCCCAGGGUUUAUACAGUGCCAGGGAGGGGAGUAAACCGAGGGCAUCAUAUAUGUUGUCCAUGGACUCUGCCAACUGAUCUACACCCUUAGGCCUCAGUUCUUUCUUCUGUUCGGUUGGCUUUUUCUUUUUUCAUGUGGAAUGUUGAGCUAUUAUAGUAGUUUAAGAAGAGUCACAUGAAGGAAGCAGUAAUGAGAAUAAAAGGAAUAAAUAAAAUUUUAGUUGCAAGAUUUUCUUCCUAUUCCCAUCUGUCUUAUUCUAAGAUCUCAAGGAAUUUUGCUUCUUGAUUGCUUAUGUAUUUCUUGAUUUUUUUCCCAUAGGUUUGUGUCAAAUAUGCUUUAGGUGUUGAGGAAUAUGUGGUAAACAGAAUGACAGUGUCUGAAUUUUUUUGUGAAUCAGAUAGUAACAUCUUACCCUCCAGAGUUGGAGCUCUUAAAUCACAUCUCAUUCUCUUGUGUCUGAGGUGACUACUGAUAACUUAUGGGGUGUAUUUUAUUAGGAUGUUAAGUUUGGGGUAUCUUCAGUAUGGGGUGUUUUGUAGAUAACCAAGUGAAAUUUUUUAGGUUUUAGGAGUAAGGUCUAGGCCAGAGCUUUAGUUUUCUGGGGUCAUGUUGUUAUGUAGAUACAGUUUAAAGCUCUAAGACCUGAUAGUGUCCUCAGCAGAUGAAUAUAGAGAGAACAGUAAUUGAGCCAGUAUAAGCUAGCAUUAGGGACACAGAGAAAAAGGACAUUAAAAAAUUAUUUUGUUUUAUGUAUAUGAAUGUUUCACCUGCAUGUCUGUAUGUCUGUGUACCACGUGUGUACUUGUGCCUAAAGAGGUCAGAAGAGGGUAUUCGAUCUCCUGGAACUGAAAAUACAGGUUGUUCUGACCCCUCCUGUGGGUGCUGGGAACUGAACUGGGGUCCUCGGUAAGAGCACCAAGUUUUGUUCUUAAGCACAGAACCAUCUCUUCAGCCCCUAGAAAAGGAAUUUUUUAAGAAACUAAGAAUAAUCAGAACACCAUAAACCUAGAAAUUGUGUCUUGGGAUCUCAAGGGAAGAACAUUGUGUGGACUAUAGGAGGAAGUUUCAAUUUUGCCGAUAAUAGAAUAAAUGCUAGAAUCGAAAAUUGUGUUGAGCAGCGUGAAGGCUAUUGAUUAUUAUGGAGCCUCUAGGAAAGGCCAGAGAUGCUAAUAAUAUCUCAUUAUCUUGUUUUCAGGUUUGCUGUCUUAUUGAUGGUAUGUCUGACAGUGGACCACAGCUUGAUUCCAUGGGUAGUCUGACCAUGAAAUCUCAACUUCAGAUCACUGGUAAGUCUUUUAAAAAGGUACAGUAUCUUAUAUCUCUGCCUCCUAUAUUAACAUAAUCAUGGUAAUUGGAGAGAUGGUUCACAGGUUAAGAGAACUUGCUGCAGUUCUAGUAGUCCCUGGUUUAGUUUCCAAUACCUAUAUCAUACACAGGGGCUCACAACUCCAACUCCAGAGGAUCUGUAACCUCUUCUGGUCUCUGAGGAUGCCUGCACUCGUGUGGCAUUCACUCACAUGCAUACAUACAUCUG
rnacentral:lncRNA from 1 species